GAGGAGGGGAGGGGUCUCCGGAACCCCAGCUGGUGGUCCCCUGAAACGGGAGGCCGGGUUCCGUGACUCAUAAAUCAUUCAUGAGCCGGGGCUUCGAGGGUUGCUGAGCACGGAACGAGUAAGGGAAGCUGGUUUGUGUGCGGGCAGAGGCGACGCUCUCAGGGAAGAGGCAGACGAGGAGGAGGAGAAGGCUGCAACGGUAGCAGCCGGUUGCUGCAGGAGGGCAGCGGGAGCCCACGACGUUGGCUGGUCCCUGGCCGCAGCUGCAGCCCUCGAACUAGGUGUUAAGGAGAGUAGGAGGGAGAGAGAAGCAGCUGCAAGCAGCUGCCGGGCGGCCUGGUGUCCCCGCUCACUCCCUGGAAAGACCUCCUCCAUCAGUUCGUAGCAGAUGCCUACUUAAUCCGGGGAGGAGGAGGAGCAGCAGCCAGUGCAGAAGGCUGCUGAACAUACCUGCCCAUGCCACUGGCCUGCUUCACAGAAACCCAUCUCUUCACCUGCCAGGAAGAUCUCCAAGCUUCAGGAAAAGAAGCAGCCCUCCCCAAAGCCUUCCUCAUGCUAUCUGCAUUUUGUUAAACUAUGGCAUUUGUCCUCUGUCUGCUGCUGCUGCUGGCGCUGCUGGGAAGCCCUGUUUCACAGGGGCAUUCUGUGCACAAGACAACUGUUGGAACUUUGGAUCUGGGCUACUUACCUGCUGGAAACUAUGAGACGAACCUGUAUGUUGAUUCUGGGCCAAUUGAAAUUUUGUUUCGAAUUGUCCGAGCCUUCCUUUCUGUGGUGCAGCCCAACCCUUUCCCUGAAGACCUCAUCCGAAAGGCUGUUCAGCAAAGGUUUGAGCACACAAAGAAUGACUAUCAGAAGCCAGAAUUUAUAGUCUUGACACUGAAGGUUGCCCACUAUGAAAUCGGUUUUAUUCUUUUGGCUGGCCUGGGAUUGCUGUUUGUUGUGCUUAUACCUCUCGUGGGCCUGUGCUUUUGCAUGUGCCGUUGCUGCAACAACUGUGGAGGGGAGAUGCACCAGAGGCAGAAGAAGAAUGGGGAUUGUCGCAGGCGCUGUUUUGCCACAUCACUCUUUGUGGUUUCCUUGAUAAUGAGUAUCGGUGUUUUUUGUGCGUUUGUCACAAACCAGCACCUUACAACUCAAGUUCAAGGAAUGCGGCCACUAAUAAAGAGCAAUUUUAAGGAUCUGAGAACUCUUCUGACGGAUACUCCAGAGCAAAUCAAUUAUCUCGUGAGCCAGUUUGAUGCCCCAAAGAAUCAAGCACUGUUAGAUCUUGACAAUAUUGGACCAUUGCUCGGACGCCGAGUCCAAGCUCAGUUAGGGAAACGAGUCCUCCCGGCCCUUGAUGCAGUUCUCACUAUGGCAGGAGCAAUCAGAGAAACCAGAGAGGCAUUAGAGAAUGUGAGUGCCUCUAUGGAGAUCCUGCAGGAGGGGACCAACAAACUCAGCGCCAACCUGACCAAUGCCAAAGAGAACCUGAAAAAUACCCUCAAUGAUGCUGCUUGCUCGGAGGCUCAAGCCAGUUCCACCUGCAAUGUUAUCAAGAAUUCUUUAAACCAGCUGAGUAUCAACGCCAACUUCAGCCGGCUUCCGCCAGUGACCUCACAGCUUGCCAAAGUCAAUGAAGUUCUUAAAAUUGAUUUAGCCAGAUUAGUCCAAAAGGGAUAUGCGGCAUUUAAUGAUACGCCUAAUAUGGUGCAGAAUCAAACCAAGAAUAUUAUAUCAGCCCUUCCUUAUGUCAAAAGUGUUUUGGAUUCCAUUGGUACAAACAUCACUGUUGUCAUCAAAAUGCUUCCUAUUCAGAAGAUGAUAACAGAUUUCGUUAUUUAUCUUACUCAGACUGAGACAUAUAUUGACAAUUAUUUCCCCUUAGUUGAACAAUAUGACUUUUACAGAUGGCUAUGUUGUUUAAUCGCCUGCUGUUUGCUGAUCCUGAUUCUGGUCUUUUACUACCUGGGAUUAAUGUGUGGUACCUGCGGUUAUAAGAAACACAAGACUCCCACCAACCGUGGCUGUGUAUCAAAUACUGGAGGCAACUUCCUCAUGGCUGGAGUUGGAUUCAGUUUCCUGUUUUCCUGGGCUUUGAUGAUCAUAGUGGUUUCUACAUUUGUUUUGGGCGGCAAUGUAGAAAAAUUGGUCUGUGAACCCUUUAAAGAAAAGAGUAUAUUUCAGGUUUUGGAUACCCCUUAUUUAUUCAAUCCACAGUGGAGAAACUACCUUUCGGGUCUUCUGUUUAAAAAUCCUGAUGUUAAUCUCACCUUUAAACAAGUUUACAGUGACUGCAAGGAAAAUAAAGGCAUUUAUACCUCUCUGCAGCUUGAUAAAUUCUACAAUAUCAGCAAAUUUCUGGCCAUUAGUCAGUAUACCCAGGAUCUAACGAUUCAGUUUGAAAGUAUUAAAAUCAACCUUAGCACCAUAGUUUUACUGGAUGAAGUAGGAAAAGAGAACCUCUGGAAUUUCAGUUUCUCAGGAAUAGAUGGGAUUGAUUUCGCAGAGUACUUGGCUGAGGUGAAUAAGAGUAUAACAAAAGUGGACCUUUUAUCAUUUGCCAAUGACUUAGAGGCAAGAGCAGAACAGUUGCCCAAAGGAGCUUUGGAAAAUGCCCUAAAAGGGCAUGCAAGCAACAUUCGAAUGAUUCAUCAUCAACGUGUGAUCCCUUUGGAGCAAGAAAUGACUGUCAAGAAAUAUGUUAAAGCCAGGAGCACUUUAAAUCAAAGUAUCAGGUUACUACAAAAGACAGCAACUGAACUUAUGGUUAAAGUGUCUCAAGUCAUUGCCACUGUGGAAAGCGCUCAGCUCCUCAUUAAUAAUAAUGCUUCCUUUAUUAUUAUUGAGGAAACUAAGAAGUAUAUGGAUGCGAUCAUAGACUACUUCGAACAGUAUAUUCAGUGGGUCAUAGAUUCACUCACCAUGGAUGUAGCAGCCUGCAAACCCCUUGCCAACGUCAUAGACACUGCUGUAGAGAUAUUUCUGUGUAGCUAUAUAACUAACUCUGUGAACGCAUUCUGGUUUGGCUUGGGAGGUGCCACGAUGUUUUUGGUUCCUGCUUUAAUUUUUGCUGUAAAGCUAUCCAAAUUUUAUCGUCGAAUGGAUUCAGAAGAUGUCUAUGAUGAUUCUUCUGUCUCAGGGACUUGGCAUUUUACUUUAUGAUAACUGUUUUUACUAGUUUUCUUUCAGCCAUAUGUAUGGGGUUUUUGGUUUGUUUCUGUGUUUUUUGGUUUUGGUUUUUGCCUCACUGUCCCAUGAACUUAUAUACUCUGUUUGUUUUUUUAAUUUCACUCAUUGUGCUUCCUGGCCUGUUUCUCCCCAAGUUUGCACAUCCUUUGGUACAUCCAUUCUACUAUAGUAGAAAGGAAAUAUGGGAAAGCAGCUGUUGCCUUCAUGAGUAUUUUUUUUAAAUAAUUGUUUCCCUCUUUGUUUUAUAUCUUUUAGUGUUGAAACUUUACCCAUGAAAAAGUAAGACUUUUUUUUUAACAGUAUUUAUUUCAAAUCUUUUCAUAAAGUGGGUAUGGGGGGGGUUAUGUUACUCCAUGCUGGACCUUUCAUUAAUAAGAAACAGGUCUGUGAUAAAAACAGGUCCAGAUGAAAAUAAAGUAAAUGUAAAGCCUCUUAAAAACAGAUUUAUAUGCAUCUCGAUGAUAUCUAUAUAUUUAAUGUACAAAAGUAGUUGUUUAGAAUGUUUGGUGGUGGUUUCUAAAGAUUACAGAAUUUGAGUUGACCUUUUUACUGGCUGUGUCAACAUUAGCUUGUUUUUGUAUAGUCUCCAUUGUCAUUUACAUUGCCUUUGUAACCCAUGUUGUCACUUCUUCAUCUUAGCAAUAACAUAAGUCUUUUUUUUUUGGUAUAUUUAUUUUGUUACAGUAUGGAAAAUGGUAAUUAUGGUUAUCAUAAAGAUCAUUUAUAUGGUCUUCACAAUCCUGUUAUGACAAGUGCCAUGGAACAGUGGUAGAGGAUACUGAAAUUGGAUGAGCCUCAAGAUACUUACAUGGAAGAGAACAUAGAAUUCUACCUAUAUUCCAACCUACAAGCACCUUUCAAAUCCAUUAUGGUUUUUAAUGGUUUCCUAGUAACACAGCUUUAAAUCAAGGGACCAUAUGAUUAUGGGGUGCUAUGAUAUGAGCUAAUGGAUGGUGCAGUUCCUGACUGGAGCUCUAUCACCAGCACAUUUCUCUGGUUGACCACUGUUCAAGGCUAAUGCCACUGGAUUUUAAAUGUUAUGGGGGUGGGGGGCAGAUGUUAGUUUUUGGUUUUUACUUUUUUACACUGGGUUUCUAUCUCAAAACCACCCAUAUCUGUAUACUGGCUCUGUUUAAUGUUAUUUUUCAGGGAACAAGUGCCCAUGUAUAAAUGUUCCAUUUUAUUAUAUGGGAAAUGCAUUAAACUGACAACGUUUACAUUUAAAAUACAUUUUAUAUGCAGUAAUUUUGUAUAUAUACCUUUUGUUACCACAGUCUUAUGAGUGUUUUAAAAAAAAAAAAUUUUAGUAUUGAGUCAUUUACUUUCAAAAUGAGCAUAAACCAGCAUGAUCGGUGUUGAUUGUUGGUGCUGUUAAAGAAUCCAUUUCUUAAUAAAGUAUGUCUGUGAAUUCUACAGUCUGUCAUUUUGGGCCCACAUGCCACCUACAGGGUAUUUCUUCUACUCUUUAAAUGAUCCAUUAAGAUCAUUUUGAAAAGAAUACACAGAAGACAAGUGUGAGAAUCAGAUUGAUUCUUCAUAGUAAUUUGAAAAAAAAACAUUUAAAAAUAUAUAGGGUGCUUGGUUUCUUCAGUUAGCUGGAAACUGGAAUGGUUUUUAAUAAGUGUCAACUCUAGGGGGAUUUAAAUUUAUUUUUUCUGAUUUGUGAAUCUGGGAGAAAAAAGACUGAAGCUAUGUCUCUUGAGGGUGAAGGGGGAUGAUGCUUGGGAUGGAUUCGAGAUAUUCAGAACUAUUUGACCACAAAAAUAAUUCCUGUGGUUUUCAGAUAAUUCCUCUAUUAAAAUGAGGCCAUCUGGGAAAUGGUCACAGUUUUCAGACAGACACGAUUCUGGAAGAGUACUAUUUUCCAGAACCCCUGUGUUGUUGUUUUUUCUGUUUAUAUGAUAAAUAAUUCUUUGAAAAGAGAUCCUAACAAGUAUGUGAAAGCACAUAAUAAUUGUUUGCUGUGAAUUUUUUUCUACUAGAUUACUCCCCCAUCGGGUCAGAAAAGGCAGAAUUUCAAAUAGGCAAAAUGUAGCACAUGUAUAAAGUUACUCAAAAUGUCAGGUUUUAAAGAAUUUGUAUUUUCACUUGAAAAAUGAUGUCCCCAACUCAUUCCAAUAAAAACAAUAUGCCCUA